CAGUAGCCGCGGGAAAACGUAGGGUGCAAGCGUUAAUCGGAAUUACUGGGCGUAAAGCGUGCGCAGGCGGUUAUAUAAGACAGAUGUGAAAUCCCCGGGCUCAACCUGGGAACUGCAUUUGUGACUGUAUAGCUAGAGUACGGCAGAGGGGGAUGGAAUUCCGCGUGUAGCAGUGAAAUGCGUAGAUAUGCGGAGGAACACCGAUGGCGAAGGCAAUCCCCUGGGCCUGUACUGACGCUCAUGCACGAAAGCGUGGGGAGCAAACAGGAUUAGAUACCCCAGUAGUCCCUGUCUCUUAUAU
rnacentral:rRNA from 1 species